GGCCGGGUGGCUCAGUGGAUGGGAGCAUCAUCCCGUACACUGAAAAGGUUGCAGGUUCGAUUCCUGGUCAGGCCA
rnacentral:tRNA from 1 species